ensembl:lncRNA
UAUGGGGCUGUGAGUGUGCAAAGUGUGCAAGUGGCUGUGAGUGCGCACGGGGCUGUGAGUGUGCAAUGUGUACAUGGCGUUGUGAGUGUGAGUGUGCAUGGGGCUGUGAGUGUGCAAAAUGUGCAAGGGGCUGUGAGUGUGAGUGUGCAUGGGGCUGUGAGUGUACAAGGGACUGUGAGUGUGAGUGUGGAAGGGGCUGUGAGUGUGCAUGGGGCAGUGAGUGUGAGUGUGCAUGGGGCAGUGAGUGUGCAUGGCGCUGUGAGUGUGAGUGUGCCUGGGGCUGUGAGUGUGCAUGGGGCUGUGAGUGUGAGUGUGCACGGCACUGUGAGUGUGCAAAGUGUGCAAGGGGCUGUGAGUGUGCAUGGGGCUGUGAGUGUGCAAUGUGUGCAAGGGGUUGUGAUGUGAGUGUGCAAGGGGCUGGGAGUGUGAGAGUGGGGCUGUGAGUGUGCAAUGUGUGCAUGGGGCUGUGAGUGUGCAUGGGGCUGUGAGUGUGCAAUGUGUGCAAGGGGCUGUGAGUGUGUGAGGGGCUAUGAGUGUGCAUGGGGCUGUGAGUGUGAGUGUGCAUGGGGUUGUGAGUGUGCAAGGGGCAGUGAGUGUGCAUGGGGCAGUGAGUGUGCAAGAGUGAGUGUGCAAGGGGCUGUGAGUGUGAGAGUGGGGCUGUGAGUGUGCAAGGGUCUGUGAGUGUGCAUGGGGCUGUGAGUGUGAGUGUGCAAGCAGCUGUGAGAGUGCACGGGGCAUGCAUGGUGCAGGUGCUGCAUGCAUGGGGCUGCGUGUGCAUGCACGGUGCAGGUGCUGCGUGCACAAUGCAGGUGCUGUGUGCAACACACUGUGCAUGCACGGUGCAGUUGCUGCGUGCAUGGAGCUCCGUGUGCAUGCACGGUGUGUGUGCUGCAUGCAUGGGGCUCUGUGUGCAUGCACGGUGUGGGUGCUGCGUGCAGUGCAGGUGCAGUGAGCGGUGCAGGUGUGCAUGCA